UUAAGCAUAUCAAUAAGCGGAGGAAAAGAAACCAACAGGGAUUGCCCUAGUAACGGCGAGUGAAGCGGCAACAGCUCAAAUUUGAAAUCUGGCGUCUUCGGCGUCCGAGUUGUAAUUUGCAGAGGGCGCUUUGGCAUUGGCAGCGGUCCAAGUUCCUUGGAACAGGACGUCACAGAGGGUGAGAAUCCCGUACGUGGUCGCUAGCCUUUACCGUGUAAAGCCCCUUCGACGAGUCGAGUUGUUUGGGAAUGCAGCUCUAAAUGGGAGGUAAAUUUCUUCUAAAGCUAAAUACUGGCCAGAGACCGAUAGCGCACAAGUAGAGUGAUCGAAAGAUGAAAAGCACUUUGGAAAGAGAGUUAAAAAGCACGUGAAAUUGUUGAAAGGGAAGCGCUUGCAGCCAGACUUGCCUGUAGUUGCUCAUCCGGGUUUCUACCCGGUGCACUCUUCUAUAGGCAGGCCAGCAUCAGUUUGGGCGGUUGGAUAAAGGUCUCUGUCAUGUACCUCUCUUCGGGGAGAACUUAUAGGGGAGACGACAUGCAACCAGCCUGGACUGAGGUCCGCGCAUCUGCUAGGAUGCUGGCGUAAUGGCUGUAAGCGGCCCGUCUUGAAACACGGACCAAGGAGUCUAACAUCUAUGCGAGUGUUUGGGUGUCAAGCCCGAGCGCGUAAUGAAAGUGAACGGAGGUGGGAACCUUUCGGGGUGCACCAUCGACCGAUCCUGAUGUCUUCGGAUGGAUUUGAGUAAGAGCAUAGCUGUUGGGACCCGAAAGAUGGUGAACUAUGCUUGAAUAGGGUGAAGCCAGAGGAAACUCUGGUGGAGGCUCGCAGCGGUUCUGACGUGCAAAUCGAUCGUCAAAUUUGGGCAUAGGGGCGAAAGACUAAUCGAACUAUCUAGUAGCUGGUUCCUGCCGAAG
rnacentral:rRNA from 1 species